UGAGAUAUAGCAUAAAAAAUGCAUUUCGUUUACACUGAAAUUAUGCCCAUUAACAGGCUGUCUUAA
rnacentral:tRNA from 1 species